CUGUGCAUUUGCAAGAUUUCCUGCAUCUGAUGUUCAGUCUGUAGCAUUUGCACAUGCCAGUUGAGCAAAUGCCAUUGCAUCUGCAAGGUCUUUGUUGCUGCAAAAAAAAAAAAUCCAAUCCAAUCAUAAAAAAGCAUCAUCAAAAUAAUGCCACAGUUUGUUCUGUUGUAUAUUUUACAUUACAAAUGGAAGUGCUGACUCAAUACAUUUCUAAACUGCAAAAUGCAUGUGUGUAGUAAACCAUACAAAUGAGAUCAUAGUUAUAAAGUUGACUCUCGUAAAAACAAUUUAUGCAGACAGAAUGAUUGCUUCACCAAUUAUUAACUCUUUCGUUCCUGUAUAUGUCUUCAG